UACGUAGGUGGCAAGCGUUAUCCGGAUUUAUUGGGUGUAAAGGGCGAGUAGGCGGGAGCGCAAGUCAGAUGUGAAAACUCAGGGCUCAACCCUGAGCCUGCAUUUGAAACUGUGUUUCUUGAGUGCUGGAGAGGCAAUCGGAAUUCCGUGUGUAGCGGUGAAAUGCGUAGAUAUACGGAGGAACACCAGUGGCGAAGGCGGAUUGCUGGACAGUAACUGACGCUGAGGCGCGAAAGCGUGGGGAGCAAACAGG
rnacentral:rRNA from 1 species